UAAACCGGAACUGCCGUAAACCGGAACUGUUUACCUUAAAGGUACAGUCCCUUGGUGAAUGUCUUACACAGCAGUUGUGGGUCACCACACAGGCCCCCCCAGUAUUCACCCAAACCAACAGGUCCAGACCGAACAGGUAACCCACAGAGAACAUCGGACACCCACUAGCGUUAAACAGGAUAUACUAGUACAGAACAGUCCCUAGAAAAAUCAACGCCGAGGGGGGCGGACCAGGCGGCCAGAACGCCUGCGCUUAACAGGAGAAGGGCAAGAGGCAGGAGCAGGUGUCGAGGCCGCCGUAGGGUCAGGGGUCGAGGCUGCCGCAGGCGGGCGCCCCCGCCGCGGGGGCUGAGCCAGCUGGAGCGGUUCGCCAACAUCCACAUGAGCAGGCUUGAGCCGGGCUAUUCGCCUUAUUCACCUCGAACGGAAUUAGGAGCCUGAGGGGUACACUUUCCACUUCCGGGAGUUUUCACAACGCGAUGCAAUGGCUCCUCACUGCUGUGUUCCCCAAUGCACUUCAUCACACAGGAAGAAAUCGAACAGAGGACAAACUUUUCACCGCUUCCCCAAUGAUCUGGGACUACGUCGAGAAUGGAUCAUUAAAAUCAAGAGAUCCUGGCCGUCAUUUUAAGAUAAACACAUACACAAAAGUGUGCUCGGAGCAUUUCCUCCCAGACUGCCUGGUAAAAACCAAGACAGGGAUCACCAAGCUGAAACAGGGAGCUGUGCCGACUGUGUUUGCAUGGAGUUCUUUCAGACCAGAGAGGAGUGUUGUUAGAAUCGAAGCAAUGUUUCCACGGAUCAUGGUGUGAGUAUGUUGAGUGAAGAGACGCCCCCUCCGCACACAGACCACGAAUAUGCUCCACUGCCUCCCUCCCUUCAAGAUCAACUUGAGGAAGCCCGAAAGACCAUCGCUGAUCAAGAAACUUUAAUUGCAGAGCUUCAACAACAACUCUUUGGGGUUUCAAAUUUUCAAAGUGAUGAUAAACAGAUCUCAUUCUAUACAGGGUUCCCGGAUUAUGCUACAUUUAAAGCUGUGUUUAUGGCCCUGCAACCUACUGCAGUUUUUUCUUUUCCUGUGUAGGUUGAGGCAGGGAUUUCCUGAGCAGGACCUUGCAACCCGAUUCCGUAUAUCACAGUCUACAGUAAGCAGGAUCUGUGUGACCUGGGUCAACUUUCUGUAUUUUAUGUUGGGAUCACUUCAAAUGUGGCCUUCAAGGAAAACUGUGGAUGAACUUAUGCCAGCUUGUUUUUAAAUGCACGUUCCCGGCUACUAGAGUUAUAUUGGAUUGCACAGAAAUUCAUGUACAGAAACCUAGCUCCAAGCCUCGCACUACAAAUCUAACACCACAUUUAAAGGCCUAAUAGGCAUUGCCCCCUCAGGUGAAGUGACUUUUGUCAGUGACUUGUAUACAGGUUCAAUAUCUGACAAAGAAGUUACCAAAAAAUCAGGUAUCCUUUCUUUGCUUGAAGAAGGAGAUAUGGUAAUAGCCGAUAAAGGCUUUCUCAUCAAGGACCUUCUCUCUGAAAGACAGGUGUCCCUUGUAAUCCCUCCUUUUUUAGGCCCAAGUGGACACUUCACUGCAGAGGAAGUUCGAAAGACUCAAGCGAUAGCAAGACUGCGAAUUCAUGUAGAACGUGCUAUUAGGCGGAUUAAAGAGUACCAUAUUUUUGAUAAAGUCUUACCCAUGACACUGGUGGGCUCCGUUAACCAACUGUGGGCUGUCUGUGCCCUUUUAACAAAUUUCCAAGGUCCUCUCUUUUAAAAUUGUUAUGUAAAUCUCUACAACUGUAAUCUUAAUAUCCACAAAUGUAUUCAAACCUUGAUUAGAAAGUGUUCGUCUUUAUGAAUCUGUACAAAACAUUAGCCAUGAUUAUUGUUCUUUACGAAUCUGUACAAAACCUUAGGCAUCAUUAUUGUUCUUCUUUACGAAUUCAUUCAAAUCCUUGACCAUCAUUAUUGUUCAUCUUUAAGAAUCUGUUCAAAACCUUGGCCAUCAUUGUUCUUUAUGAAUCUAUUCAAAUCCUUAACCAUCAUUAUUGUUCAUCAUUAAGAAUCUGUUCAAAACCUUAGCCAUCAUUAUUGUUCAUCUUUAUGAAUCUAUACGAAUCCUUCACCAUCAUUAUUGUUCAUCUUUAAGAAUCUGUUCAAAACCUUAGCCAUCAUUGUUCUUUAUGAAUCUAUUCAAAUCCUUAACCAUCAUUAUUGUUCAUCUUUAUGAAUCUAUACAAAUCCUUAACCAUCAUUAUUGUUCAUCUUUAUGAAUCUAUACAAAUCCUUAAACAUCAUUAUUGUUCAUCUUUACGAAUCAAUACAAUGUGAACUUGUAUUGUUACCAGAGCACCUUAUCAUGGUCAAUGUAUCACAGGAUCCCUGUCAGACUUUGUAAUCAUUUCACAUGCUCUUUACUUUUAUAUACCUGUGAGUUAAGCUACUGGCUGUCUAUCUAAAGAAUAAAGUACAAUUGUAUUACGCAUG